UACGAGUGCCUCAAGCGUUAUCCGGAAUCAUUGGGCGUAAAGGAUGUGUAGGUGGUUGUGUUAGUCUUUUGUUAAAUUCUUCGGCUUAACCGGGGGCAUGCAAAGGAAACGGCACAACUAGAGGAUGCGAGGGGUCUGCGGAACUCAUAGUGUAGCGGUGAAAUGCGUUGAUAUUAUGGGGAACACCAAAAGCGAAGGCAGCAGACUGGAGCACUCCUGACACUGAAACAUGAAAGCGUGGGUCGCGAAUGGG
rnacentral:rRNA from 1 species